AGUGAACGCUGGCGGUAGGCCUUACACAUGCAAGUCGAACGGCAGCACAGUACAAGCUUGCGCUUACGGGCGGAGAGUGGCGUACGGGAGCGGAAUACACCCGAAUCUACGGGUUAGUUACGCGUAACGGAGGCUAACUCACGCUACGACCGCAGGCUGCCUGCGGGGGAAAGCAAGGGCUCGCCCGACCGGACGCGACGAUGUCAGCUUAGGUAGUUGGAGCGGUAAAGGCGCACCAAGCCGACGAACUGCAGCUGGUCUGAGAGGAUAACCAGCCACACUGGAACUGAGACACGGUCCAGACUCCUACGGGAGGCAGCAGUGGGGAAUAUUGGACAAUGGGCGCAAGCCUGAUCCAGCCAUACCGCGUGCGUGAAGAAGGCCUUCGGGUUGUAAAGUCCUUUUGUAGGGAAAGAAAAGGAGCAGGUUAAUACCCCGCUGUACUGACGGUACCGAAAGAAUAAGCACCGGCUAACUUCGUG
rnacentral:rRNA from 1 species